CUUCGACGGACCCAGGGGGCCAGAGUGAUCUGGAAAAGACCGCAUGUGUUGUGAGUUGGUGGGUUCCUCCCAGGCUCGUCUUGAACUUUUGGGCUCAAGCAAUCCACCCGCCUCAGCCUCCCAAAGUCUUGGAAUCACAGGCGUAAACCACUGCAUUCGGCCAAGAGGGCAUUCUUAAUAUGCAGCAAAACAAGAAAAGAAGAAAAGAAAAGAAAAGAAAAGAAAAGAAAAGAGAAGAAAGAACUCUUCUAUACGUAUAUCAUACUUCAAAAACUGUUGCCCGCAAAAUGGCAAUAUCUUCUUCACAGAUGUCCCCGUCUCCCAGAGCCCAGCCCUCUCCCCUCCACCUCGACUCUUUAUCCUGCACUCAGUCACAGUCUCUUUAGCUGUCCAGUUUCUGCCCCCAAGAGAGCCCAGGAGGUGACCAAGUGCACAGGAAACCCGGGUGAGGCUGGCUGUGGGGGAGAGUGGUUGCAAACACAGUGUGACAUGGUUUCUUUCCACCCUUUCUAAUCUCCACCAGGCCCUUCUUAUCUGGUGUGUACACUUGCUAUUCCUCCUCUGAAACAUCCUGGCCCCUUUCCUCCCUCCUCCUGCAGGCCCUAGCUCAGGUGACCCUUCCUCAGCAGCAGGGGUCCCAGACCAGGGCAGUCCCCUACCCCACUCUCUGAGCUCCCACCAUAAUUAAACCUACAGGUUUAUUUCGCAGCUAGACUAUAAACUCCCACACUUGACUACGCGCUAUGUAAAUGGGCAGCCACUGUGUCUGCCAAGUUCACGGCCAAAUUCCAAGUGCCGGGCCCACAGCCUGGCACACAGCAGGCUCUCAAUCAAUAUUUGUUGUAGCUGCUAUUCAAAUCUUACUCAUUCUUUACAGGUUGCGCAAAGCCUGCCUCUCUGCAAACAUCUUUGGUCUCUCCUCUCUGAAAGGCCUGUGUCUUGCCCAUUUCCUGUCCAUAUGUCAUCGACUACCAGGCCUAGGCUGAGGCACAAUCCCCCGAGGUCCCGGCUGUGUUUAUCUCCUGAAAACCCUUUUCCCCGUGCAGACGGAUCACCAAGGACUCCCUCACACUCACCUUCUCUGGUUCUCUGGAUACCUCUGGCUGACCUUCCCCACCCCACUGGGUCCUUUCCUCUAUUUGCCUUCCUUAGCGGGAGCAGCCAGCGUCUGUUCCUCCCCUACCCUCUCCCUCCUCCACCAAAUGUAACAUGGCCCUGCUUAGGCUUCCUUCUUCAGCACAGAGCCCGGGAGCCAAGCUUCUCCUGUUCCCAGCCACUCUUCUACCCUCCCCUUUAGGAGAGACUGGACAUGGUGUCUCCCUGACAUCUCCAACCCCACCUCCUUCCUUGAUGGUCCUGGAGGGUCCUGAGAUCACCCCCCCUCCCUUUUACCAACAGAAAAGCCGAGGCCAAAGAAGAAUGGAUGUUGGCCAAGGCCAUACGACGUACACAGAGCCAAAGCCACAGUCCCCUCACCUCCUCCCGGGCCACUGUGGGGACCUGAGCAGUCAUUCCAGGGGAGAGGGCGACCCCUGGUGGCGAGGAGGGGCAUGGCAGCCUGUCGCUCAUUUCCUGGGCCCAGAGGCUGACCGUGGAAGAGGCAAGGCCUGGAGGAUCAGGCUUUAGUCAUCAGGAAGGUAAAUAAAGGCAAGGCCCGUGGAGUGAAAGAACCCAACUUUUGCUGGGCUUUGCCCUUCCUUAGCCACAUUCCCUGUAAUGACCUAACAAUACUGCUCUGUGACUUUAACUGUACCCUGCUGAUUUGCUGAUUGGAUCUUUAGGGGGCAGGAAUGGGCAUUAAACGGCUUUUGGCACA